AAUUAAAAACAAUGAAAAAAAAGAAAGUUUAAAGCUCCUAGGAGAUAACAUAGGAGAAAGCCUAGAUGACCUUGGGCAGAGUGAUGCCUUUUUAGAUACACCAAGGACAGAUCCAUGAAAGAAAGAAUUAAUAAGCUGGACCUCAUUAAAAUCAAAACUGCUCUUUGAAAGACCAUGCCAAGAGAAUGAGAAAAGCCACUGACUAGGAGAAAAUAUUUGCAAAAAAAAAAAGAAGAAGAAGAAGCAUUUACAAAGCUAUUCCACGUGAUACAUCAACAGGAAAAUGCAAAUUUCAACAACAACGACAUAACACUACGCACCUGUUAGAACGGCCGAAAGACAGUUUGGCAGUUUCUAGAAAUGACACAUGCUCUUACCAUGAUCCGGCACUCUCCCUUGGUUCUUCACAGUAUGCAGCAUAAGCUACAGACGAGUUCGCUUCUUCCUUCAUCUGGCAUUCCUCCAGUAAUCCAGUCCCAGUGGAAAGGACUACAAAAAGAAUGGGAAAGACGGCUUGAGCGCACGCCGACUCUGCCUAACCUCAGGGACUGGCUGGACUGGGUCUGGCCUCUUUUUUCCAGUGGUCUCCAGAUGGGACAUUUGGACCUUCUUUCGCUUGGAACCACACUAUCUGCAUGUACCUAGGGCACAGCUAAUCUGCAAAGGACCCCGGCAACAUCUGCCUCUCAAGUUCUAGUCCUCUGUCCCGUCUAUCCUAUACAGUGCAGCAUUGGACAGAAGCAGCCUUCUCUGGACACGUGACCAGAGGCCAAACAACGUGGGAGUUCAGCCUGCCUGCAUGAUGACAGUCACCGAGUCUUGGUGGGAGCAAGAAACAGAAAUCAAUCUCUGACAUCACUCCUUCUAUGUAAAGAAGGAAAAAGCCUUUAUUUUAUCAUUUCUCUUUUAUUCAUUUGUUGGAACAUAAGAAACAUUUUCAGGUUUUCGAUUGUUUCCUUUUUUCCUGUUGUCUAAUAAGGUCAGUUUCUUAAUAAAGCAUCUCUUGGCUUACGCUGG